AUUGAACGCUGGCGGCAGGCCUAACACAUGCAAGUCGAACGAGUGGCGGACGGGUGAGUAAUGUCUGGGAAACUGCCUGAUGGAGGGGGAUAACUACUGGAAACGGUAGCUAAUACCGCAUACCAUCAGAUGUGCCCAGAUGUGAUUAGCUUGUUGGUGGGGUAACGGCUCACCACGGCUACGAUCCCUAGCUGGGCUGAGAGGAUGACGAGCCACACUGGAACUGAUACACGGUCCAGACUCCUACGGGAGGCAGCAGUGGGGAAUAUUGCACAAUGGGCUCAAGCCUGAUGCAGCCAUGCCGCGUGUAUGAAGAAGGCCUUCGGGUUUUAUAGUACUUUCAGCGGGGAGGCGUUACCCGCAGAAGAAGCACAGGCUAACGCCGUGCCAGCAGCCGCGGUAAUUC
rnacentral:rRNA from 1 species